GACAGAGGUGCAACGUUGCUCGGAAUCACUGGGCGUAAAGGCGUGUAGGCGGGACGGUAAGUCGGGCGUGAAUCCCUAGGCUCAACCUAGGAACUGCACUCGAACUACCAUUCUUGAGUGUCGGAGAGGAAAGCGGAAUUCCUGGUGUAGAGGUGAAAUUCGUAGAUAUCAGGAGGAACACCAGUGGCGAAGGCGGCUUCUGGACGAUAACUGACGUGAGAACGCGGAAAGCUGGGGAGCAAACAGG
rnacentral:rRNA from 1 species